rnacentral:rRNA from 1 species
GACGAACGCUGGCGGCGUGCUUAACACAUGCAAGUCGAACGGACGAGUGAGAUAAGUUUACUUAACUCACAAGUUAGUGGCGGACGGGUGAGUAACACGUGGAUAAUCUACCUGCAACACCGGGAUAACGCUGUGAAAACGGUGCUAAUACCGGAUACGUUCCCUUGUGCGCAUGUAUGAGGGAAGAAAGCUCAGGCGGUUGCAGAUGAGUCCGCGGCUGAUUGGCUAGUUGGUGAGGUAAAGGCUCACCAAGGCGAUGAUCAGUAGCCGGCCUGAGAGGGUGAACGGCCACACUGGGACUGAGACACGGCCCAGACUCCUACGGGAGGCAGCAGUGGGGAAUCUUCCGCAAUGGGCGCAAGCCUGACGGAGCAACGCCGCGUGGGUGAAGAAGGCCUCGGUUGUAAGCCUGUCUUAUGGAAGAAGUACAGUGACGGUACCAUAGGAGGAAGCCACGGCUAACUACGUGCCAGCAGCCGCGGUAAUGAGU